UUUGUUUCCAGUUUUUUUGGUGUCAUCCGCCCUAUAUAUUCUUUGGGGUGAAUGGUGAAAAGGGAAUCAGGUGUAAAUCCUGAACAGACCCGCUGCUGUAAGCUCAACCAAAAUCCUUGUGCAAUAUUCAAAUCCACUGUCCUGAUUAUCGGGAUGGGAAGGAGGCACAAAGGACGAGUAAGUCAGAAGACCUGCCAAGAUUAAAUGUUUCAU
rnacentral:ncRNA from 2 species